ACGACCUUACUUGAACAGGAUCUGUUCUACAGGUUGUACAUCCGUUUCCAACGACACAAUGGAGACACGCACAACAAUCUGGAAGAUGAUACAUUGCCACGUGGCCAGAGUGUGAACACUGGAUGCCGGGCCCUGCGGGGCACCCACCAUCCACAGAGGAUCGCUCUCUUAGCCAAUGGCUGAUGAGAUGGCCAUGUGGUAGACUGACAGAUC
rnacentral:snoRNA from 1 species